ensembl:lncRNA
GUCACGGGGGGAUUUGAAUCAAGCGUCACUAAAAAUGGCAUUAGAAAGCUCAGGUGGUGCUACGGCGAAAAAAAUAAAUAAAUAAAUAUAGCUGCAAAUAUAACAACAGAGGAAUUUAAUUUCUUAUCACGAAGCAGCAUCGACAAUUCCCACGAUUUUUUAUAAAGUAUGUCGCACUGAUUUCAGUAUCGGACACGGUGGGAAAAACAACGUAACGCAGCACAAUAAAUCCCAACGGCACAAUCGCGCUGUGGAGGCACAAAGGGGUACACCCGCGAUUUCAAACUCACUAAAGGACGGACGGAGGCAGAAACCGUAUUACAGAGUGAACGAAGAAUAUCAAUGUUGAUUGCAAAAAAAAAAAAAAAAACCUUCCAUUUUCUUUUUGCGAUCAAUUCAAUGCUAGUGUGGGAGGCAUGCUCCCGGAUUCUGUCAUAGCUAGAAAAUACUUCUCUGGAAAGACUAAAACAACUUAGCUUCUUAAAGUCCUGCCCCCACAACCCCUCACACCCAACCGCCCCGCCACCCGGAGUCUCCUGGAUUUCGGUAUCCAAAUGUUGACAGAAUCCAGUGAUGUUACACAGACACCAGUAUUAUGGGUUUCACAGGGUGAAUCUGCACAAAUGAACUGCAGUCAUACUAUGGGUGUAGGCUAUAACUACAUGUAUUGGUUUCAACAACGAAAGGGAGAAACAAUGAGACUCAUUGCUUUCACAAUGCUAGGCAGCAAGCCAGACUUUGGUGAAUUUUCUGUUGAUAAAUACUCAGCUGAAAAGACUGUAGCUGAUAAAGGGUCUUUCACAGUGAAGAAGCUGCAGCCCGAUGACAGUGGUGUGUAUUUCUGUGCAGUGAGUAAACACAGUGACACAGACCUACUGUGCUGCUGUACAAAAACCUAAAAUGUUCAUGCUCCCUAAACACAGAACAGGUGCUAUGACAGAUGUUAACAAUGACAAUGAAAUUUUGCAGUUUGUUUGCAGCGCCGCCAUAUAAUGAUUGUGACCACCAGCUUCCAAAUUAUAUAAUAAAUAAAUAAAUAAAUACCCAAAUUAAAUAAAUAAAUAAUAUCAGUUCAUUAAUAUUAUGACAAAAUUACCUGGUUGUUACUCCUCCUGCAAGAGUUGAUGGAGGUUGCAUGAUG